GAUGAACGCUGGCGGCGUGCCUAAUACAUGCAAGUCGAGCGAACGGACGAGAAGCUUGCUUCUCUGAUGUUAGCGGCGGACGGGUGAGUAACACGUGGAUAACCUACCUAUAAGACUGGGAUAACUUCGGGAAACCGGAGCUAAUACCGGAUAAUAUUUUGAACCGCAUGGUUCAAUAGUGAAAGACGGUCUUGCUGUCACUUAUAGAUGGAUCCGCGCUGCAUUAGCUAGUUGGUAAGGUAACGGCUUACCAAGGCGACGAUGCAUAGCCGACCUGAGAGGGUGAUAGGCCACACUGGAACUGAGACACGGUCAAGACUCCUAAGGGAGGCAGCAGUAGGGAAUCUUCCGCAAUGGGCGAAAGCCUGACGGAGCAACGCCGCGUGAGUGAUGAAGGUCUUCGGAUCGUAAAACUCUGUUAUUAGGGAAGAACAUAUGUGUAAGUAAAUGUGCACAUCUUGACGGUACCUAAUCAGAAAGCCACGGCUAACUACGUG
rnacentral:rRNA from 1 species